AUGUCUCAUCCUGAACUCUCUUGGAAAGCCAGUCGCCCCAGCGUCGCCGAGAGAGCAAGGCAACGGUGGAACCAAUCGCACCAUUCGCUGGGUGAACAUCAGGAGAGGAGGUUCACUAGUGAUAACUCUAGGACUCUCAACACUAUAUUAUUGGUUCUUCACUUUACUCUAAACACAUUCACAAUUCACAAAACAGAAAACUCUAAGUUUCUAAGUGUCGCUGUCAACGGCGGAGAACCACUGCCGGAAAAUUCUCCGACGGUAGUUCCGAUUUGGUGCUUCCAACUUGUUCAAAUUCAUGAACUGAUUAUUUUGAUUUGGUGA